AACGAACGCUGGCGGCAGGCUUAACACAUGCAAGUCGAGCGCCCCGCCAGGGGAGCAGCAGACGGGUGAGUAACGCGUGGGAACGUACCUUUUGGUUCGUAACAACUCCGUGACACUGGAGCUACUACCGGAUAAGCCCUCACGGGGAAAGAUUUAUCGCCGAAAGAUCGGCCCGCGUCUGAUUAGCUAGUUGGUGAGGUAACGGCUCACCAAGGCGACAAUCAGUAGCUGGUCUGAGAGGAUGAUCAGCCACACUGGGACUGAGACACGGCCCAGACUCCUACGGGAGGCAGAAGUGGGGAAUAUUGGAAAAAGGGCGCAAGGAUGAAGCAGCCAUGCCGGGUGAGUGAUGAAGGAAGUAGGGUAGUAAAGCGCUAUUGUCCGGGAAGAUAAUGACUGUACCGAAAGAAUAAGCCCCGGCUAACUUCGUG
rnacentral:rRNA from 1 species